CUAAGUUGAUACAAAGGGUCUCAUUAAAGAGUUAUUAGCCCACUUUUGCUGAACUUUUUAUUACAGCAACGUUUCUAGAGAACUUUUCCGGUGAUCAGAUGUAGUGCUGCAAUGGAUUUCAUCAACAGUAUCACUGUUCGACCCAACAUAAGAAUCUCGUCCUGUUGAUACCCAUUGGCCAUUUAUCUGGUAUAUAAUAACUUUGCUAUGACUAUUUCUGACCACACCAAAAUGCGCGGACGUAAAAAAGUCAAAGAGGUGGUAGCGUCUAUGAAUCAGCCAAAUUAUGACCAUUGAAUGGUGAACUUGUACAAAUUGUGGGAGAUGAUCUUUUCGUCACCAACCCCUCGACAAGAUUGUUUCAGCAUAUACUAACCUCAAGUGGUGAUUUACAAGGACGAUUUUAGUAUUUGUAGAAUUGUAGUUAAAAUAAGUUAUAUGUUACAUAAUCGUUUUCUUUGACG